rnacentral:rRNA from 1 species
CUCGAGUGGUCUGGCCACCAGCCUCCGCCUUCGCACCCGCCUCAGCGCCUGUGGCUCGAGCUCGCCCGCCGCCGAGCGCCGGAGGAGCAGCAUGCCGAGCGCUGGACGGCUCCAAGGCCUCCGGUAGGGCACCCCGUCCUCCGUCGUGGCAAAGGACUUUCUGCUGCUCUAGCCGCCGGGACGCGACGCCUUGCCUCUCCCCCCUCUUGCAUAGGACACUGACCCUAGUCCACUGUACGGAUGUCGUACAGUGCGACGUUGUACGCCGGAGGGUAGGCGGGAGGUUAGAGGUAGGUUGCAAGGUGUCGCUAGGUUCCGUUUUUUUCAUGGUCCGCUAGUCUGAACCUGGUUUAGCACCACCAGACGGGCGAGCCUUGGUUAAACACCGCCCCUUUUCCCCUCUAACCGCGGCUCGCAACGGCGGCGUCUCCUGUCCGUCCCGGCGCGGCGGCGGCUCCUCCUGGGCGUCCCAGCGCGGCGGCGGCGGGGUCACUUCGCGAGGCGGAGCGGCGCCGUCAUUAGUCGCGGCGGCUCGGGGGCGCCCUUGGUCGAGGCGGCUCAGCGGCCCCUUGGUCUUCUCGCGGCAGCACGCGGCCCAUCGUCGCUGAACGGCGGCGCCAGGUGCCUCCUCGCGGUGGGACUGGUGGUGCAGGCCAAAGGGUCUUAACUUACAACACGUUACCGUCUUUAACCUUUCUCCUGUGGGUUUCAACCAUACUCCAAGUCUCUAAGCCUUCUCCGAACCCUCAAAACCCAUCUAAUACCCCCAGUGUAACCGAAGCUACACUCCUUUUCUAGGUGUUAGUUUUCGUCUACACUACCACACUAAUGAAGUGCGACCAAACAAACAAGGUUACUUCCGGUAGCUUCCUUUUUGGUUUGUCUAGUACUCGGUUUCGCAUAAUCUCGUCUUUGUUCUUGGUUAACAUUCCGAGUACACUAACAAUGUAUACUAGCUCAACGGUUGUUAAAACUUCAGUGGCUUCAACUAAACCUCGUGUUAGUGGCGGAAGUUAACGGUGUUUGGACGGUGAACAAUCGUAGUGUUUCCUUCUAAAGUCUUCACGUUCGAAAGCUCUAUCUUUGUCGGCUACUAAGACCUUAAUACGGUUUUCGAAGUGUACUCAUACGAACAGCAGAUCAACCACCGGGAUUGUUGGAACCAGUGUGAAUGGCACUGGCUUUCUUGGUAAACGCUUCGUUCGCCGUCGCCCUCAACCGAAUACCUGUCCGACCUUCAUACAACUUAAUAAAAGCACUGUUCGUCCGACUCUUACGUCGUAAGGUUAUGGUAAACGUCAACCUAUCACUCCUCGUAUAUCGGUUGUAUAAGACCCAACUACGAUUUUACGAUGAACUGAUACGUGUGAAACCGCUACAACAGUGUAAACUGUGAUGUAAACCGUGUUUGUUUCUCAUAUCCGGUAAACCAUAAAAAGAACCCGACUUGGUCAAGUCUUUUUGUUGGUAAAAACCACGACGUAACUACAAGCUACUUUCUAAACGACAACGAUAACGCUCCAACGUACCUCUAAAUGUCAAACUCCUCCUCGCGUAUCACUAUCCACUAGGAAACUGGUUUUGCCAAAGUACAUCAACACCCUACAAGUUAUCCUGUCCUUAGAACACACGUGUACCAGAUUUUCACGAACUAAACUACUUGUAUUUCUGUAACGGCCGUGUAAUACAGAACUUCUCCACCUGAUCUCUUCGAGCGUUACCUUCAUAUGUUCUAUCUGUUCCUUCCUUACACCAUCUUUUAGGUUUUUACCUUCGACUUGAAGCUAUGUUCCUAAACAGAGUAUUUAAAGUGUUUUACCGUGUUUUUCGUCGGUUGAGAGGUGUUACAACAUAAGAUAACCUAUUACGUGAACUAAGGCAGCGAGGCGUAUAUGUACUAAAUGAGUUACGUAGGUGAUCACGGUACUUACUUGAUACAUUUCUGUUUCUCUUACAACUGGGUUUACACGUCGUUCAUCUACUCAACGAAUCUAGACGUGCCGACUUCUUUUUUCUCCAAGUCAGUUUCUUGAAUUCCUCUAUCUUUUAAACCGAACUAUUCAAUGAGUUCCCCUUCGUGUCUCAUUGAUUUCCUGGUUGUUUUGUCCCUCUUUUCGGUGUUUCCUUCUUCCUACCACACGUUGUUUUCUUUUUUCUACCACACGUCGGAGUUCAUCUUCAGCUCUUCAUACUGUUGUUGUUUCUUCAUUUAAACCACGAAGUUCUCACGUUAUUAUAAUACUCAAAGUGGGUCGAGAACUGCCGACUGGUACUAUUAGACAAGAUCGUACCUUCGAGGAAUCUAUUAUAAAACAUGUACCACCACUAGUACUACUAAUAGACAAGAUCGUACCUUGAGCACUCUAUCAUAAAUUAUGACUUAAAGUUAGUUCACCAUGACUUAAACAUAACAAUUUAAUGACGACAAAAAACAACGAUAUACUGACGACAAACGUAUGUCAAAAAAAACAUAUCGAUUCAAACUUUAAAUUAUGACUUAAAGUUAGUUCACCAUAACUUAAACAUAACAAUUUAAUGAC